CACUCCUGCGGGAGGCAGCAGUGGGGAAUAUUGGACAAUGGGCGCAAGCCUGAUCCAGCCAUGCCGCGUGAGUGAUGAAGGCCCUAGGGUUGUAAAGCUCUUUUGUGCGGGAAGAUAAUGACGGUACCGCAAGAAUAAGCCCCGGCUAACUUCGUGCCAGCAGCCGCGGUAAUACGAAGGGGGCUAGCGUUGCUCGGAAUCACUGGGCGUAAAGGGUGCGUAGGCGGGUCUUUAAGUCAGGGGUGAAAUCCUGGAGCUCAACUCCAGAACUGCCUUUGAUACUGAAGAUCUUGAGUUCGGGAGAGGGGAGUGGAACUGCGAGUGUAGAGGUGAAAUUCGUAGAUAUUCGCAAGAACACCAGUGGCGAAGGCGGCUCACUGGCCCGAUACUGACGCUGAGGCACGAAAGCGUGGGGAGCAAACAGGAUUAGAAACCCUUGUAGUCCCAUGA
rnacentral:rRNA from 1 species